UUGCGCAGUAUAGGUGGGAGGCGAAGAUUAUAUAUUUGCGGAUGUAUAUGAGCCGCUAGUGAGAUACCACUCUAAUUAAACUAGAAUUCUAAUAUUGAUUGCCAUAAGCUGGCCAAUAAACAGUUUCAGGUGGGCAGUUUGACUGGGGCGGUCGCCUCCUAAAAGGUAACGGAGGCGUGCAAAGGUUUCCUCAGGCUGGUCGGAAAUCAGUCGUAGAGUGUAAAGGCAUAAGGAAGCUUGACUGCGAGACCUACAAGUCGAGCAGAGACGAAAGUCGGCCUUAGUGAUCCGACAGUGCUG
rnacentral:rRNA from 1 species